CACGCAGGCGGUCGGAUAAGUCAGAUGUGAAAGCCCCGGGCUCAACCUGGGAACUGCAUUUGAAACUGUCCGACUAGAGUCUUGUAGAGGGGGUAGAAUUCCAGGUGUAGCGGUGAAAUGCGUAGAGAUCUGGAGGAAUACCGGUGGCGAAGGCGGCCCCCUCGGACAAAGACUGACGCUCAGAUGCGAAAGCGUGGGGAGCAAACAG
rnacentral:rRNA from 1 species